rnacentral:rRNA from 1 species
UACGGGGGGGGCAAGCGUUGUUCGGAAUUACUGGGCGUAAAGGGGCUCGUAGGCGGCCAACUAAGUCGGACGUGAAAUCCCCAGGCUCAACCUGGGAACUGCGUCCGAUACUGGAUGGCUUGAAUCCGGGAGAGGGCGGUGGAAUUCCUGGUGUAGCGGUGAAAUGCGCAGAUAUCAGGAGGAACACCGGUGGCGAAGGCGGGUCUCUGGGCCGAUGACUGACGCUGAGGCGCGAAAGCGUGGGGAGCAAACAGG